GCAGACUUCUACAAGUUUGGAUAGGAGCUAUCUAGCACAUGCAAUAUAUAGCAAGAACAAGCAGACCUUACAAGGUAAUAGUGUUGUCAAACACAUCGUCCAUGCCAUAAAGAUCAAGUAAUCGUUAUAGCUCACAUAUUGAUAUUGAUAUCUACUACUGUUUAGGUACCAUACUUUGUUUUCUCUUAUUAGGACUUCUACUCAUGUAUAAAAGGAUAGGUGAACAAUUGAGAUUGACUUCAGAAAAUAGAAAGAUCUCUUCUAUUUCUUGAGUCAAUGCAUCAUAAGUGCAAGCACACAUGACUUCAGAAAAUAGCAGGACCUUGAGAGCGGCAACGCCGACGAUCUUGAUGGGCAUGCCGGUGACCACCAUGUCCUUUAUGGUGAUGUAGCCGGUGCUGAACCACACCACAACCUCGGCGGAGAGAGAGAACAAAGAUCAACUACUGGCCUCAACCCAUAAAUAAAAGAAAAACUAUAGCAAAAGCACAUGGAAGAAAUAUUCAAUUAUUUGCCCAAGGACAAAUGAAACUAUAGCAAACAAGAUAUUGUGAGAGGGCCAACAACCAAGCAAGAAGGAAAAGAAGUUAAAGUGUGGAUGGAAUUAAAAAUUGUAUUGAGUAGUACUUUAUUUUAAAUUAAAAAAUAGCAAGAAGAGUGUGAUGCAUGGCACGUGCAUUAAUGAAACCCAAUUGCCAACAACAGCAGUUUCAGCAAUGACUAGACCUGUUCCAUGAUCCAGCAAUAUUCCUUCCCUAAUUUUGGCAGCUGCAGAUUUAGCAAUAAAGAAUGUUAAGAGAACAAACUAACAUUACCAUAUCAUACCUGGAUAUAACAAAGCCGCCACUUAAGAUGACAGAUUUACUUUUCAAAACUCAAAAGGCAAACCAUGUAUUAUUUCGGGGGAGCCAGGUCCCAUGCCCCAAACAUCAUCUGAGCAUGAGGAUAUGUUUAAGGAUUUGAUGCUUAUGAAUUCAUAAAUUAAAAAAUUAUCGCAGCCUCAUAUGUAAGCAAGUUUUAGAAAACGCAAUGCUUCUAUGCCCCCAAAAAGUGAACAUAAUUACAAAGACAAACCUUGGUUCAGGUUAAGAUAUUUACAAGGAUAACAUAACAUACAUACAUAUUCCCAAGCAGCAGACCCAUAUGCAGUAGUUAAGGCGGCAAAACAUAUUUCCACGAAGGUAGUAGAAGAAGCUAAACAUCAUCCGAUAAAAAAAAGGAAACAUCAUGUACUAAAUCAGCGAAAAUAAUAUGGAUUGGAGGGAGUAGCUAUUUUUUUAGUGGAAAAGCCAAACAUCAUAUAGCUAAAGACAAACCCCGGUAUUAAACACAGCAGCAGGAAAUAUAAGACAAUUUUGUACAGAUAUUAUGAUACACCAACAAUAUACCGGGGUGUAUAUCCACUACAAAAACCUGAAAGGAGAAGGACAGCAUAUGUUAGUCCACAUAAAUGUAUGGCUAAAAAACUACUUCUUAAGAAAUCAAGGUUCACCUCGCUGAUAUGGCUUUGCAGCGCCAAUGCCAGAACCUCAUGCCCUUGAUUCCAUAAUACAUGAGCUAUCCUAUAGGACUGCAAGGAAUGGUAACCCUGUAGCAGUUUGCAAGCAACAUGAGUCUUGUUACCUUUUCCAGAUAUGAAUUAUAUGAUAACAAGAACUCAUAGUCACCUUCAGGUAUAAUAGUGCCCAGCUAUAUUGUGCACAGGUCUCUUCAGAAAAUAGAAAUAUCUCCUCUGUUUCUUGGGUCAAUGCAUCAUAAGUGCAAGCACACAUGACUUCAGAAAAUAGCAGGACCGUGAGAGCGGCAACGCCGACGAUCUUGAUGGGCAUGCCGGUGACCACCAUGUCCUUUAUGGUGAUGUAGCCGGUGCUGAACCACACCACAACCUGGGCGGAGAGAGAGAACAAAGAUCAACUACUAUAUAGUGCCCAAACAAACAACUAAUCAGAUAACACUCCACACUAUCAAUUUACCAGUUAGGACCAAGUGGCACUACAAGCUCCAUACAUCCAUCAAUCGAUAUUUUCGCCCUCCACAAGAUCAAACUUCGCGGUAGCUGAGGGUCCAUGCCACUUCCUAGGAACACACACACACACACAUAGAGAGAGAGAGCAUGAUUAACUGGUUUCAUCAACCCACAUAACAAAAUAGAGAAUUUAAAAAUUAAGUAUACGCAGACUUCUACAAGUUUGGAUAGGAGCUAUCUAGCACAUGCAAUAUAUGGCAAGAACAAGCAGACCUUACUAUAGUGCCAAAACAAACAACUACUGGAGUUGACUACUAUAUAUGCCAAAACAAACAACUAAUAAGACAACACGCCAAGAACAAGCAGACCUUACUAUAGUGUAAAACACAGAAGUUCGAUCUUGCUAGACGCAUUUGCUCGACGGAUUAACACGCAAAAUCAAUAUUGCUGCUGAUCUUUGCGCUACGCGCAGCUGAUGCGGGGGCGUAAGGUUGGGGAGGCAGUGAUAGGGGUGCGAUUGGAGGAACGAGGGGGGGAGNNNNNNNNNNNNNNNNNNNNNNNNNNNNNNNNNNNNNNNNNNNNNNNNNNNNNNNNNNNNNNNNNNNNNNNNNNNNNNNNNNNNNNNNNNNNNNNNNNNNCAAAUACUUGACACGUAGAAAACAGUAGCAACAAAAUGACACGAUCAACAUGCUACGUCUAUUAAUUUGGGUCUAGUCCAUCACAUGAUUCUCCUAAUGAUGUGAUCCCGUUAUCAAGUGACAACACUUGCCUAUGGUCAGGAAACCUUGACCAUCUUUGAUCAACGAGCUAGUCAACUAGAGGCUUACUAGGGACAGUGUUUUGUCUGUGUAUCCACACAUGCACUGUGUUUCCAAUCAAUACAAUUAUAGCAUGGAUAAUAAACGAUUAUCAUGAACAAAGAAAUAUAAUAAUAACUAAUUUAUUAUUGCCUCUAGGGCAUAUUUCCAACACUUUAGUCCCGGGUCGGGGAUCGAGCCGGGACUAAAGACACCCUUUAGUCCCGGGUGGAGCCACGGCGAGGGACUAAAGGCCCGUGCUCGGCACGCGGCAGGCCAGGGGCUUUAGUCCCGGGUCGUGGCUCCACCCGGGACUAAAGCCCCUCCGCUGGCUGCACGAUAAGUUUAGUCCCACCUCGCCCAGCGAGGGGGACUAACACUAGUUUAUAAGCCCCGUCGCAGCAUCUCCAUCGAGCUCCUCUCUAAAGCAGGCUUACGGGCCUAAACUCACUGUAAAUUUGAAAAUUGAAACUAUAUUCGAAAUUAUGAAGAAAAUUCAACCUGAAUUCAAAGUGAGGUCUACUUUGAAUUUCGGUUAGUAAUUUUCUACUUAAUUAAAUUCUYACUAGUUAAUUAGUUUACUUAAUUUUUUUUMYUAAUUUUACUAAAAUUUAAUUUAUUUUAGACUUAUACCUAAACUUAUUUAACUUAUUUUUAUUUAUUUUACUAAAUUUAAAACUUAGUUAAGUUUUNNNNNNNNNNNNNNNNNNNNNNNNNNNNNNNNNNNNNNNNNNNNNNNNNNNNNNNNNNNNNNNNNNNNNNNNNNNNNNNNNNNNNNNNNNNNNNNNNNNNGAACAAUUGAGAUUGACUUCAGAAAAUAGAAAGAUCUCUUCUAUUUCUCGAGUCAAUGCAUCAUAAGUGCAAGCACACAUGACUUCAGAAAAUAGCAGGACCUUCGAGAGCGGCAACGCCGACGAUCUUGAUGGGCAUGCCGGUGACCACCAUGUCCUUUAUGGUGAUGUAGCCGGUGCUGGACCACACCACAACCUGGGCGGAGAGAGAGAACAAAGAUCAACUACUGGCCUCAACCCAUAAAUAAAAGAAAAACUAUAGCAAAAGCACAUGGAAGAAACAUUCAAUUAUUUGCACAAGGACAAAUGAAACUAUAGCAAACAAGAUAUUGUGAGAGGGCCAACAACCAAGCAAGAAGGAAAAGAAGUUAAAGUGUGGAUGGAAUUAAAAAUUGUAUUGAGUAGUACUUUAUUUUAAAUUAAAAAAUAGCAAGAAGAGUGUGAUGCAUGGCACGUGCAUUAAUGAAACCCAAUUGCCAACAACAGCAGUUUCAGCAAUGACUAGACCUGUUCCAUGAUCCAGCAAUAUUCCUUCCCCAAUUUUGGCAGCUGCAGAUUUAGCAAUAAAGAAUGUUAAGAGAACAAACUAACAUUACCAUAUCAUACCAGGAUAUAACAAAGCCGCCACUUAAGAUGACAGAUUUACUUUUCAAAACUCAAAAGGCAAACCAUGUAUUAUUUCGGGGGAGCCAGGUCCCAUGCCCCAAACAUCAUCUGAGCAUGAGGAUAUGUUUAAGGAUUUGAUGCUUAUGAAUUCAUAAAUUAAAAAAUUAUCGCAGCCUCAUAUGUAAGCAAGUUUUAGAAAACGCAAUGCUUCUAUGCCCCCAAAAAGUGAACAUAAUUACAAAGACAAACCUUGGUUCAGGUUAAGAUAUUUACAAGGAUAACAUAACAUACAUACAUAUUCCCAAGCAGCAGACCCAUAUGCAGUAGUUAAGGCGGCAAAACAUAUUUCCACGAAGGUAGUAGAAGAAGCUAAACAUCAUCCGAUAAAAAAAAGGAAACAUCAUGUACUAAAUCAGCGAAAAUAAUAUGGAUUGGAGGGAGUAGCUUUUUUUUAGUGGAAAAGCCAAACAUCAUAUAGCUAAAGAGCAACCCCGGUAUUAAACACAGCACCAGGAAAUAUAAGACAAUUUUGUACAGAUAUUAUGAUACACCAACAAUAUACCGGGGUGUAUAUCCACUGCAAAAACCUGAAAGGAGAAGGACAGCAUAUGUUAGUCCACAUAAAUGUAUGCUAAAAAACUACUUCUUAAGAAAUCAAGGUUCACCUCUCUGAUACGGCUUUGCAGCGCCAACGCCAGAACCUUACGCCCUUGAUUCCAUAAUACAUGAGCUAUCCUAUAGGACUGCAAGGAAUGGUAACCUUGUAGCAGUUUGCAAGCAACAUGAGUCUUGUUACCUUUUCCAGAUAUGAAUUAUAUGAUAACAAGAACUCAUAGUCACCUUCAUGUAUAAUAGUGCCCAGCUAUAUUGUGCACAGGUCUCUUCAGAAAAUAGAAAUAUCUCCUCUAUUUCUUGAGUCAAUGCAUCAUAAGUGUAAGCACACAUGACUUCAGAAAAUAGCAGGACCGUGAGAGCGGCAACGCCGACGAUCUUGAUGGGCAUGCCGGUGACCACCAUGUCCUUUAUGGUGAUGUAGCCGGUGCUGAACCACACCACAACCUGGGCGGAGAGAGAGAACAAAGAUCAACUACUGGCCUCAACCCAUAAAUAAUAGAAAAACCAAAUAGAAUUCAAAAGUUAAGUAUGUGUGCUACUGGAGUUGACUACUAUAUAGUGCCAAAACAACCAACUAAUGAGACAACACUCCACACCACCAACUUACCAGUUAGGACCAAGUGGCACUACAAGCUCCAUACAUCCAUCAAUCGAUAUUCUCGCCCUCCACAAGAUCAAACUUCGCGAUAGCUGAGGAUCCAUGCAACUUCCAAGGCACACAGGCACACACACACACACAAAGAGCAUGAUUAACUGGUGUCAUCAACCCACAUAACAAAAUAGAGAAUUUAAAAAUUAAGUAUAAGUGCUACUGACGCAGACUUCUACAAGUUUGGAUAGGAGCUAUCUAGCACAUGCAAUAUAUAGCACGAACAAGCAGAUCUUACAAGGUAAUAGUGUUGUCAAACACAUCGUCCAUGCCAUAAAGAUCAAGUAAUCGUUAUAGCUCAGAUAUUGAUAUUGAUAUCUACUACUGUUUAGGUACCAUACUUUGUUUUCCCUUAUUAGGACUUCUACUCAUGUAUAAAAGGAUCGGUGAACAAUUGAGAUUGACUUCAGAAAAUAGAAAGAUCUCUUCUAUUUCUUGAGUCAAUGCAUCAUAAGUGCAAGCACACAUGACUUCAGAAAAUAGCAGGACCUUGAGAGCGGCAACGCCGACGAUCUUGA
rnacentral:lncRNA from 1 species